GACGAACGCUGGCGGCGUGCUUAACACAUGCAAGUCGAACGGAAAGGCCCUGCUUUUGUGGGGUGCUCGAGUGGCGAACGGUUGAGUAACACGUGAGUAACCUGCCCUUGACUUUGGGAUAACUUCAGGAAACUGGGGCUAAUACCGGAUAUGAUCUCCUGCUGCAUGGUGUGGGUUGGAAAGUUUCGGCGGUUGGGGAUGGACUCGCGGCUUAUCAGCUUGUUUGUGGGGUAGUUGCUUACCAAGGCUUUGACGGGUAGCCGGCCUGAGAGGGUGACCGGAGACAUUGGGACUGAGAUACGGCCCAGACUCCAAAGGGAGGCAGCAGUGGGGAAUAUUGCACAAUGGGCGGAAGCCUGAUGCAGCAACGCCGCGUGCGGGAUGACGGCCUUCGGGUUGUAAACCGCUUUAGCCUGUGACGAAGCGUGAGUGACGGUAAUGGGUAAAGAAGCACCGGCUAACUACGUG
rnacentral:rRNA from 1 species